rnacentral:lncRNA from 1 species
AGCUUGUUCUUCUUCAGCUUCAUCUUGUGAGUCUUCAUCAGAGGUUUCACCCCAAGCAGCAACCAUAGCCUUGGUUAAACCUGUUCCUUCAUUUAACCCUUUCUUUAUUCCACUCAAUUUCCUAUUGAGGGAAAUUCUUUAAUCAUGUGGUCUAUCUUACCACACUUAUAGCAGCCAUCAUUGUUCUGUUUCUCAAGAGCGCUUGUCUUGUUGAAGUUUUCACCUCUUAAUGAACCUCUUCCUCUCAUCAGGUACGUUUUGAAAUCUAUAGUGAUCAUAGCCAUUUCAUUAUCUUCUAGAUCUGAACCUUCUGUAAUUUUUAGAGCCAAGCUUCUCUCAUUCUUGGGUGUAUCCAUCUUCCUAGUUUGCCUUCUCAGUUCAUAAACAGUAAGAUUCCCAAUCAGUUCAUCCAGCCUGAGAGUUGCCAUAUUUUUGGACUCCUGAAUGGCAGUAAACUCAUACGCUAGUGCCCAACAUAUUCUAUUCUUGUUUCAAGUAUUUUUUCAGAAUUCAAAGAAGUAACUUCAUAGAAAUAGUAAACUAACUAACUAAUGCCAAAAUACAAAUUCAAGUUUUUCAGUUUGUAAGUUUAAAACAUACAGUCCACGAUCCACUUUAACAAUUUAAUACUGUCCAUUAGAAUACAUUUCAUAAUCCAAAUCAAUAGACAACACUUAACUAACCAUAUUCAAAGUAAUUUCAACACAAAGACUAAGUAACUACAUAUUAGACAAAACUGAAUUAAUAAUGCUCCGCAAAUUCCAGUAUUGCCAAUAUGUUUUCCAUUUCAAUCAGUGAAGUUACAUUGAGAUUACUUGAGUGUGUACCUGCAAGGAGGAAUUAUAACAGGAUGAAGAAUGAGUUAGCACAACAAUAGCAAUACCAAGCAGAGUUGCAACUAGCAGUCAGUGACAGCCCAGAAAUGAUUCAGAAACCCAGGAAUAUUUUAAACCACUUGAAAUUGAAAAGGAUCCUUCUACACCACUUCCAUAGAACUCAGAAAUGAACACAGAUGAGAAAACUACUUCCUAUUCCAGAUUAGCGAGCAAAACCGGACCUCUAACUAAGUAACAGAUUGAUUAUGAUGUCUAAAACUCAGUAACUAAUGGAGAAAUUUCAAUGGAACUGUAGUUGGCUCAUUUUUGUAGUUUUUCUGGAGAUUUUUACUGUUUUUGGAUUUUGAAGACUUUGACUUCAAAAAAU